rnacentral:rRNA from 1 species
UAGCCGUAAACGAUACUCGCUAGGUGUCGGCCACGGUGCGACCGUUGUCGGUGCCGUAGGGAAGCCGUGAAGCGAGCCACCUGGGAAGUACGGCCGCAAGGCUGAAACUUAAAGGAAUUGGCGGGGGAGCACCACAACGGGUGGAGCUUGCGGUUUAAUUGGAUUCAACGCCGGAAAUCUUACCGGGACCGACAGCAACAUGAAGGCCAAGCUGAAGACUUUGCCGGAUUAGCUGAGAGGUGGUGCAUGGCGUCAGUG